CAAUCGCUUCUGGUCCCUGCUUCGCUGGCCAGCCCAUUUCUCCAACGUUUCGGUGGCUUACUCGGUCUCCGGGCAGGUGGUUACCAAUAAAGUUUUACUGUUUCAAAGCCGGGAGGACUGGGCCCAUUCUCGGUCCCCUUGCUCGCUGCCCACAGUUCGCCUCGGCUACGGGUAACCAGCUUUAGGGCCUCAUGGCCGCGGGCCGCCGCGGCCGUGCGGGGAUGAGGCCGCCUUUCGCUGUCCGCGCGCUCCCGUGGCUUCUGGGUCCGUCGGCGACCGUCUCAGCUUGAGCGCAGUCCCUCCACUCCCGCGGGCCGCUUCGCGCCGGACCCCAUGGCCUCUGAGGCGCCGCCGCCUUCGUUGUCGCCAUCGCCACCUCCCUCCCCCGAGCCUGAGCUGGCCCAGCUGAGGCGGAAGGUGGAAAAGUUGGAACGCGAGCUGCGGAGCUGCAAGCGGCAAGUGCGGGAGAUCGAGAAGCUGCUGCAUCACACAGAGCGGCUGUACCAGAGCGCCGAGAGCAACAACCAGGAGCUCCGCACCCAGGUAGAAGAGCUCAGUAAAAUACUCCGUUGUGGGAGAAACGAAGAUAAUAAAAAGUCUGAUGUAGAAGUACAAACAGAGAACCACCCUCCUUGGUCAAUCUCAGCAUCUGAACUCCCAGUUCAGGAAGAUCAGGAUAUCAAAGCUUCUACUUUUAAUUCUAAAGACCAGUCACACAUAGAAAAUGAUGCUUAUGCUGGUACUGAUAUAACAGAAAAUGUUAAUUGUGGACAAGAGGACCAUUUUGCCUCAAAUUCACAGGAGCCAGCAUCUGUGUUAGCAACAGAAGAUACAUCCUUAGAAGGUUCAUCACUAGCUGAAAGUUUGAGAGCUGCAGCAGAAGCUGCUGUAUCACAGACUGGAUUUAGUUAUGAUGAGAAUACUGGAUUGUAUUUUGAUCACAGCACUGGAUUCUAUUACGAUUCUGAAAAUCAACUAUAUUAUGAUCCUUCCACUGGAAUUUAUUACUACUGUGAUGUGGAAAGUGGUCGAUAUCAAUUUCAUUCUCGAGUAGAUUUGCAGCCUUAUCAGACUUCUGGCACAAAACAAAGUAAAGAUAAAAAAUUGAAGAAGAAAAGAAAGGAUCUUGAUUCUUCUACAACAAAUGAGGAAAAGAAUUUGAAUUCAGAAGAUCAAAAAACAUCAAGUAUUGAACAUAUAAGCUGCAGUGAGGGAGAAGAUUUUGCAAGUGUGAAAAAGAAGGCCAAAAUAGACAUUCAUUACAAAAAGAGUCCCCCCAAAUAUACUGUUCCAGUUAGCGCAAAGACUGUAGAAUCUCCUCUUGAUGAAAACAUUUAUAAUUCGGCUUCAUUUAAAGAUGAGAAAAUCAUAGACACUGAUAGUGAGCCUGAAGAAGGUGAAAUUACAGACUCUCAGACCGAGGACAGUUAUGAUGAAGACAUUACCAGUGAAGACAAUGUAACUGCAGAAGAUUCUGAAGAUGAAGAUGAAGAAAAAAUUUGGCCCCCAUGUAUUAGAGUAAUUGUAAUUAGAUCACCUGUGUUGCAGACAGGAUCACUUUUUAUCAUUACAGCUGUAAAUCCUGCUACAAUUGGAAGAGAAAAAGAUAUGGAGCAUACUCUCCGAAUCCCUGAAGUUGGUGUCAGUAAGUUUCAUGCAGAAAUUUAUUUUGAUCACGACUUACAAAGUUAUGUCCUUGUGGAUCAAGGCAGUCAAAAUGGUACAAUUGUAAAUGGAAAACAGAUUCUUCAACCCAAAACUAAAUGUGACCCUUACAUACUUGAGCAUGGAGAUGAAGUGAAAAUUGGAGAGACUGUGUUGUCCUUUCACAUUCACCCUGGCAGUGAUACCUGUGAUGGCUGUGAACCAGGGCAGGUUAGAGCUCACCUUCGUCUUGAUAAGAAAGAUGAACCUUUUGUUGGUCCAACUCUAAGUAAGGAGGAAAAAGAGCUGGAAAGGAGAAAAGAAUUAAAGAAAAUACGAGUAAAAUAUGGUUUGCAGAAUACAGACUACGAAGAUGAAAAGGCUUUGAAGAAUCCAAAAUAUAAAGAUAGAGCUGGAAAACGUAGGGAGCAGAUUGGAAGUGAAGGAACUUUCCAAAGAGAUGAUGCUCCUGCAUCUGUUCAUUCUGAAAUUACUGAUAGCAAUAAAGGUCGGAAGAUGUUGGAAAAGAUGGGUUGGAAAAAAGGAGAGGGCCUAGGGAAGGACGGUGGAGGAAUGAAAACUCCGAUCCAGCUUCAACUUCGGCGAACACAUGCAGGCUUGGGGACAGGCAAGCCAUCUUCAGUUGAAGAUGUUCACCUUCUCCAAAACAAGAGCAAAAAGAACUGGGAGAAAGCACGAGAGAGGUUUGCUGAAAACUUCCCCGAAACUAAAUCUCAGAAAGAUGCACCAGGGACUGUGCCUUGGGUCAAAGGGACUGUAGAGUGAAGGUCAGUCAUAGAACACAAAAGCUUUUUUAUAGAAUUUGGAAACUCUUGUUUAAUUGCAGAAAUUUUCUCUCCAGAAGAGUCAGUGGCAUGAGGGAACCGUGUCACAAUUUACCCCCUCUUGAUUCAGAAAUGUGUAAUAAAGUGUGGUUUGCCGUUUUGGUUUUUUUUUUUUUUUUUUUCCGGUACGUGGGCCUCUCACUGUUGUGGCCUCUCCCAUUGCGGAGCACAGGCUCUGGAUGUGCAGGCUCAGCGGCCAUGGCUCACGGGCCCAGCCGCUCCGCCGCAUGUGGGACCCUCCCAGACUGGGGCACGAACCCGCGUCCCCUGCAUCGGCAGGCGGACUCUCAACCACUGCGCCACCAGGGAAGCCCUGGUUUGCAGUUUUUAAAAAACAUUUUUAAAAACUAAUAAAUAGUGACUGAAUCAAGUUAUGCUAUGAGUGGACUAAAGUUCACAGGGCACAGAUGAGCUUAUCAAGCUUUGUUACUUUAUUUUGUCAUUUGCAAGACCCAUAGAAGUAACUAGCCAUAUAAGCAAAAUUCAUGUAACCACUAGCUUAAAUGUACAUUUGUCCUUGUCUCCUUAUAUUCUCCAUUAUUGUACGAUGCAUAACAAAAGAAACAUCGAAAGUUUAUAAAAACAAUUCUGACUAUAUACAUCCUUGUUUAUGCCCUUUAGGACCUAGGUAGAAAAUGUUGAGAAAAUAUGGGUAGUGGUGUAUAAAUGUUAUUAUAUUUGAAAUAACCCAAGUAAUAUUAUUGAAGAACUAAUGAACAGCUGACAUGUUGUAGCAAAUCAGUCUCAUUGUUUUCUUCUGUGAAGAAUCUGUUGAUUUGUACUAUAUAUUAAGCAUUUACCUUUGGUUUGUUUCAUAGCUGAAAUACUUAGGUAUGAACAGUUGAGUACAGUAUUGAAUUAUUCAGUGUGCUGGCAUUUGUAGUUUUGAUAAAUCCCAUUGCUGGCAAUGGAGUUGUGCCAGAAAAAUCUGAUUUCUACUGCAGAAGGGUUACCUAGCCAAGGCCUCAAACUCAAGAUACUUAUUGAAAACGUCUUCAAAUGCAAUGGAAAACAUUAUAACAUCAAAAAGAAUGAUUCAUUGAACCAAUAAUUUAAACAUACUGGUCUGCUUUGAACUCAUGACCAGCCAGAAUUUUCCUCUGUAAAUUGGCAGCACAGUAAUGAAAGGAUACCCUCAGAUUUUCGGAGACUGCAGUGCAGCUUUCUGAGUGCAGGUGUCACCGCUCUGCCCGUUAACACUGUUCUUUUCCUUUCUGUUCAACUUUUCUCUCAGCUUUUUGCUGGGAAAUCAAUGCUGGAACUGAUCUUUUCUCAUCAUGAAUAUAAGCUAUAUAGCUCCUUCAUCUACUAUAAGGAAAUGUCUUCAAGAUAUAGAAAUAGGAAAGGAAAAUUCUGGAAAAAAGUAUGCAGUGGGGAAGAUAAUUCAAAAAGAAAGCUACCUCCCGGAGUUUCUAGUCUUAAUGUACAGGGUACUUAGGAAGAAAGGGCGGUGUGGAAAGAAAAAUAAAUAUAUUACUAAAGAUGAGACAUAUGACCAAACAAUUGUCAAGUUAUUAAAGGCCUAAGAUGGGAAAAACAGAGGUCCUAUAAUUCUAAAAAUCUAGAUUAAGUAUUUUUCUGUAUCCUUUUUGGCCACCUACAUACCCUAACACAUACACAUAUAUGUACAUUAGACUUGGAGGCACUAGGAGUGUCCUGCAUUAUUUUCUCUAAAGUAGAAAAAUUACUCAUCUAAAUGUGGUUCUGGUGCCGGUGCCCUACAUAUAGGUAACAAUAUAGGACCCUCAGAGUAAACUUGCUUCUGGUAGAUCUCAACUCAUUGGGUUAGUAUCCAACUGUCUAUGUAAUAUUUCCCAUUUUUACUAUUAGAUUGUGGAAAACUUUUUCAUUGUUUUCUUUUGUUAAGAAAAUGGAAACUUGAAAAUGGUGAUAAAAAUUGAAAUAUAUGUGAUAUUUGCUUUAUUAAAACCCUUUGCAGAUCUAAAGUCUCAGGGCUAUACUAUACUGGUUAAAGCACUGAAUAAUGUCUGGUUCUAUUUCUACCUAUGAAAUGAGAAUAUUUAACUCACAUGUUUGUCUUGAAUAGAAAAUGGGAAAAUGUAUGUAAAAGCACUUUGUAAAUUGUAAAAGUAGUACAAAUGUGAGCUUCUGUUUGUUUAGAAGCAUAAAUAUGGAUUAUGUACAAUUUGAAUUACACAUAAAGUUGUUUUGCGUCUAAUAUUUAAAACUAUAGUUUAUUCAUGCAGUAUAAAUUUAUUAACUUAAUAGCCUUUAAGUGUUUAAGUGGAGCUACAAGUUGCUGAAUUUUGAGAAAUCUAACAUAUUUUGCCAGAACAUGAGAAGCUGGCAAAAUUGAGAACGGAAGAAACCAUCACCAUUACAGUGAAAUAACAGAAAUUGUUUUCUAGAAUUAAAUAGCCAGGAAGCACUUUUUCUCAGAAAGGGGGGGGGUUUCUGUCUGUUUUUAAAAGUUUUUACUUCUGAUGUUUCACUUACUCUAGUUGUGAACUUAUGAAAAGUUAUGGUUCACCCAAUUCAAACACCUUCCAACUUUUCAUGUAAAAGAUUAUUUCUUAAUUUGGCACAUUUUCAAGGGGCAGGCAAAAGAAAUAGAAAUUUCCAACAAGGAGAGAUUGUAUACAAAGGCCUUCCUUAACGAGUUGCAGGAAAGAGGGGUGUGCUUGGCAGGGAGCCAGAAAGGCGUUUCUAGACCUAGCAUCCAAAAGUGUUCUCAAGAACAGCUGAAAGUAUUUCCCCAUUGUGGUGUUCUAAGUGUGCUUCUUAUUUUUGUAGGGCAUCACUUAUAUCUCUGCCUUGACUCUUUGAUCUAAAACAUUUCCUUUUACUUUUUCAGGCUUAAAGUGGAAAUACAUUUG